rnacentral:rRNA from 1 species
UGGGGAAUUUUGGACAAUGGGCGAAAGCCUGAUCCAACAAUGCCGCGUGUGUGAAGAAGGCCUUCGGGUUGUAAAGCACUUUUGUCCGGAAAGAAAUCCUUGGCUCUAAUACAGUCGGGGGAUGACGGUACCGGAAGAAUAAGCACCGGCUAACUACGUGCCAGCAGCCGCGGUAAUACGUAGGGUGCAAGCGUUAAUCGGAAUUACUGGGCGUAAAGCGUGCGCAGGCGGUUUGCUAAGACCGAUGUGAAAUCCCCGGGCUCAACCUGGGAACUGCAUUGGUGACUGGCAGGCUAGAGUAUGGCAGAGGGGGGUAGAAUUCCACGUGUAGCAGUGAAAUGCGUAGAGAUGUGGAGGAAUACCGAUGGCGAAGGCAGCCCCCUGGGCCAAUACUGACGCUCAUGCACGAAAGCGUGGGGAGCAAACAGGAUUAGAUACCCUGGUAGUCCACGCCCUAAACGAUGUCAACUAGUUGUUGGGGAUUCAUUUCCUUAGUAACGUAGCUAACGCGUGAAGUUGACCGCCUGGGGAGUACGGUCGCAAGAUUAAAACUCAAAGGAAUUGACGGGGUCAUA